rnacentral:rRNA from 1 species
AUUGAACGCUGGCGGCAGGCCUAACACAUGCAAGUCGAGCGGAUGAAGGGAGCUUGCUCCUGGAUUCAGCGGCGGACGGGUGAGUAAUGCCUAGGAAUCUGCCUGGUAGUGGGGGAUAACGUCCGGAAACGGGCGCUAAUACCGCAUACGUCCUGAGGGAGAAAGUGGGGGAUCUUCGGACCUCACGCUAUCAGAUGAGCCUAGGUCGGAUUAGCUAGUUGGUGGGGUAAAGGCCUACCAGGGCGACGAUCCGUAACUGGUCUGAGAGGAUGAUCAGUCACACUGGAACUGAGACACGGUCCAGACUCCUACGGGAGGCAGCAGUGGGGAAUAUUGGACAAUGGGCGAAAGCCUGAUCCAGCCACGCCGCGUGUGUGAAGAAGGUCUUCGGAUUGUAAAGCACUUUAAGUUGGGAGGAAGGGCAGUAAGUUAAUACCUUGCUGUUUUGACGUUACUAACAGAAUAAGCACCGGCUAACUUCGUG